CGGCCGCCGCCCCACUGCGGCCCAGGCUUUUCAAUCGUGACGGGUGAAAAAGUUGGAGAAGUUGGGUAUCGAUCCCAAUACCUACCGCAUGCUAAGCGGUCGCUCUACCAUCUGAGCUACAUCCCCGACGCGCUGGCGCUCUAAUACACUACGAUAGAGAAAAAUGCUUCUUCUGCAAGGUUCGAACCCUGAACGAAUCCCUCCCUGGCUUUGAAACGGCAUCCUUUGGGCUAAAAAUGAACGCCGCUGCAUCCGAGCUGCGAAAAGGGGACGCAACUCAGCAAACCGCUGAUUAAUAAUGACAACAGGCUUUGAUUUUGUUAGGGGUAGCGUUGGUAUAUCUUCUCGGCUAUUUAGCUAAGAUCAUGUUUAUAAACUGUUCUUAUCAGAGUAACUCCUGAUACUGCCUUCGGGCAAAGGAAUAGAAAUUAUAACCCAAGGUUGUUUCCCUGGAGUUCCACGUUUCCAGGGGAGCAACUCUUUUUUUCGCCCGGGAACAGAACAUCUGUAGCAAACGCCGCAAAAGCGCACGCUCAUUAAUGAGUGCGAGAAGGAAAGCUGCUCAAGUGGUGGGGGAACGGCCACCAAGGUGCGUCCCUUCACGCUUCGAGCAGCGUGCAACUCCCCCCCUGCCUCUUUGAUCACUCAGCUCUGGAAACGCUCUCAUGCCAGCGGCGGCAGCCCCUCAUUACGUCACCUCGCGGAGAACGAGCCCACACAGCGCUUUGCUUGGCAGCAAACGUCCUGUUUCUUUUGCCCUAAGGACUGGCAGUCGCUUGCUCUCAACAGCAACGGCGCACCAUGGUGCCUGCUUGCAUCCGUGGGCUGUCUUGCAGCUGCAAGGACUCUAUGCAGCACGCCGUUGCUGCCGCGUCGCUGAUGAAGCGCAAACAGAAUCCCUCACCCGUGCAUCGGCGCCGCAUCGUAAAAAAAAAAAAAGAACACGGAAUCUCCCUCUCUUUCUCUCUUUUCUCGUCUCCUCACACGCUGGCAAAUCUACGUUGCAG
rnacentral:tRNA from 1 species